GAACCUUACCUGGGCUCGAAAUGUUAUGGACCGGGGUAGAAAUAUCCCUUCCCAGCAAUGGGCCGUAAUAUAGGUGCUGCAUGGCUGUCGUCAGCUCGUGUCGUGAGAUGUUGGGUUAAGUCCCGCAACGAGCGCAACCCUUAUCCCCAGUUGCCAUCAUUUAGUUGGGCACUCUGGUGAAACCGCCUCGGAUAACGGGGAGGAAGGUGGGGAUGACGUCAAGUCCUCAUGGCCUUUAUGUCCAGGGCUACACACGUGCUACAAUGGCCGGUACAAACCGUCGCAAACCCGCGAGGGGGAGCUAAUCGGAAAAAGCCGGCCUCAGUUCGGAUCGCAGUCUGCAACUCGACUGCGUGAAGCUGGAAUCGCUAGUAAUCGCGGAUCAGAAUGCCGCGGUGAAUACGUUCCCGGGCCUUGUCACACCGA
rnacentral:rRNA from 1 species